rnacentral:tRNA from 1 species
UGUACGUGUUCACUUAUUGGUUGUUUGUAAUAAAUAAGCAUGAAUUUGGGUUUAAGGGUGUAGGAAGUACUUGGACUCGAAAGGGUCUGUAGCUCAGUUGGUUAGAGCACACGCUUGAUAAGCGUGGGGUCGGUGGUUCAAAUCCACCCAGACCCACCACGAGGGGGUGUAGCUCAGCUGGGAGAGCACCUGCUUUGCAAGCAGGGGGUCAUCGGUUCGAUCCCGUUCACCUCCACCAAUUAAACUAGUUAGACUCAAAAAAUAAAUUCUGCUUUUUGUUCUUUAAAAAUAAAAAAUGGGUAAGAUUGUGUUUUGUAAAGCAUAAUCUAAAUCUAUAGUGUUGAUAAAUAUAACAAGUUCUUAUUUUUGUUAUUAAGUUUUCAAGAUUAUAGGAUCAAGUGAAUAAGUGCAUGUGGUGGAUGCCUUGGCGAUUACAGGCGAUGA